UACGAAGGGAGCUAGCGUUGUUCGGAAUCACUGGGCGUAAAGCGCACGUAGGCGGACGUGUCAGUCAGGGGUGAAAUCCCGGAGCUCAACUUCGGAACUGCCUUUGAUACAGCACGUCUUGAGUCCGGAAGAGGCGAGUGGAAUUCCUGGUGUAGCGGUGGAAUGCGCAGAGUAUCAGGAGGAACACCAAUAGCGAAGGCAGCUCGCUGGGACGUUACUGACACUGGAGGCGCGAAAGCGUGGGGAGCGAACAGG
rnacentral:rRNA from 1 species